GAACGAAGAGCUUGGAGUAGCAUACCUGAGUACUCUUAGUGGCGAACGGGUGAGUAACGCGUUGUGUGACUACCCCAAAGAUAGGGAUUACAGCUCGAAAGGACUGCUAAUACCUUAUGUUGUCAUUUUGAUUAGAUGCUAAAUGACUAAAGGAGCUUGCUCCGCUUUGGGAGGGGCCUGCGUCCCAUCAGCUAGUUGGCAGGGUAAUGGCCUACCAAGGCGAUGACGGGUAGGGGACCUGAGAGGGUGGCCCCCCACAAUGGAACUGAAACACGGUCCAUACACCUACGGGUGGCAGCAGUAGGGAAUAUUGGUAAUGUGCGAAAGCGCGAACCAGCAACGCCGCGUGUGCGAAGACGGCCUUCGGGUUGUAAAGCACCUUUCGGGAGGAAGAGGAAGGACUGUACUCCCGGAAUAAGUCUCGGCUAACUACGUGCCAGCAGCCGCGGUAAUACGUAGGAGGCAAACGUUAUCCGGAUUUACUGGGCGUAAAGCGCGUGCAGGCUGUUCAAUAAGUUGGGCGUGAAAGCUCCCGGCUCAACUGGGAGAGGUCGUUCAAUACUGUUGGACUAGAGGAUGGUAGAGGAAGGUGGAAUUCCGGGUGUAGUGGUGAAAUGCGCAGAUAUCCGGAGGAACACCAGUGGCGAAAGCGGCCUUCUGGACCAUUCCUGACGCUCAGACGCGAAAGCUAGGGUAGCGAACGGGAUUAGAGACCCCGGUAGUCCUAGCUGUAAACGAUGUGAACUUGGCGUCGGUGGGAUUAAAUCCAUCGGUGUCGUAGCUAACGCGAUAAGUUCACCGCCUGAGGACUACGG
rnacentral:rRNA from 1 species